AUCAAAUGAAGAAAGGCUUACGGUGGAUACCUAGGCACCUAGAGACGACGAAGGGCGUGGAAACCGACGAAAUGCUUCGAGGAGCUGGAAACAAGCUAUGAUUCGGAGAUCCCCGAAUAGGGCAACCUUUUAUACUCCCUAUUGAAUUCAUAGAUAGGAAAGAGACAACCCGGUGAACUGAAACAUCUUAGUAGCCGGAGGAAAAGAAAGCAAAAGCGAUUCCCUUAGUAGCGGCGAGCGAACUGGGAACAGCCUAAACUUGCCUUAUCCCUACGGGAUUAGGUUAGGGUAGUGGGAAGAAAUUUGUGCGCAUAACUUAACUAGAUGAAGCAGCUGAAUCCUGCACCAUAGACGGUGAAAGUCCCGUAAUCAAAAGUUAAGUAGCUUUAGGUUUCACGAUUGCCAACGACAAUUGCUCCGCUAGUCGUAGUAAUUCACUUUGUCAACGAAGUAGAAAAUAAUUUUACCCUUUGCUUCAGCUUCGCUGAAGCUAAAAGUGGGUAGAAAUCUAUUUCUAGCGAAGCAAUCGAACGAAGCAAAAAAUAAAAAUAUUAUUUUUAAACAAUUUCUGACAUAAUCUUUUUACCUAUUUACCAAAGGUAAAUAGAAAAAAAGAUUAGGUCAACAUCCCGAGUAGCAUGGGGCACGUGAAAUCCCGUGUGAAUCAGCGAGGACCACCUCGUAAGGCUAAAUACUCCUAGGUGACCGAUAGUGAAAUAGUACCGCGAGGGAAAGGUGAAAAAGAACCCCUGUAGGGGAGUGAAAUAGAACAUGAAACCGUAAGCUAUCAAGCAGUGGGAGGAUGAAAAGUCUGACCGCGUGCCUGUUGAAGAAUGAGCCGGCGACUUAUAGGGAGUGGCGUGGUUAAAGAGAAACAUCUGAAGCCAAAGCGAAAGCAAGUCUUAAUAGGGCUACGAAAAGUCACUUCUUAUGGACCCGAACCCGGGUGAUCUAACCAUGACCAGGAUGAAGCUUGGGUAAAACCAAGUGGAAGUCCGAACCGACCGAUGUUGAAAAAUCGGCGGAUGAGUUGUGGUUAGGGGUGAAAUGCCAAUCGAACUCGGAGCUAGCUGGUUCUCCCCGAAAUGCGUUGAGGCGCAGCGGUUGACUAAUUAUUAACUUUGUUAAUACAAAGGGGCUGUCUAGGGGUAAAGCACUGUAUCGGUGCGGGCUGCGAGAGCGGUACCAAAUCGUAGCAAACUAAGAAUACUAAGACAUGCUUUCCGUCAACCAGUGAGACGGUGGGGGAUAAGCUUCAUCGUCGAGAGGGAAACAGCCCAGAUCAUCAGCUAAGGCCCCUAAAUGACCGCUAAGUGGCAAAGGAGGUGAGAAUGCUGAAACAACCAGGAGGUUUGCUUAGAAGCAGCCACCCUUAAAAGAGUGCGUAAUAGCUCACUGGUGGAGCGUUCUUGCGCCGAAAAUGAACGGGACUAAGCGGUCUGCCGAAGCUGUGGGAUUUCUAAAAAAAAUGCACAUGUUAUUUUACCUUUGGUAAAUAAAACCCACUUCGUGGGUAAAACCUAGUUUCUAACUGAGCUUCGCUCAGUAGAGGUAAUAGCCUAAUUCACUUAUUCACCAGUUAUAAAUCGAAGAUUUAUUACAGAUGAAUUAAUGAAUAGGGUAAGAAACUUUGCGAAUCUUUACUUAGAAAUCGGUAGGGGAGCGUUCCGCUCUAGGGUGAAGCAUCAACGAAAGUUGGUGUGGACAAAGCGGAAGUGAGAAUGUCGGCUUGAGUAACGCAAACAUUGGUGAGAAUCCAAUGCCCCGAAAACCUAAGGGUUCCUCCACUAGGUUCGUCCAUGGAGGGUGAGUCAGGACCUAAGGCGAGGCCGAAAGGCGUAGUCGAUGGAAAACAGGUUAAUAUUCCUGUACUAAUUUUUGAUUGGUACCGAGGGACGAAAAAGGCAAAAGUUGAUCAAAAUUGGAUUUUUGAUGGAAGCGCUCGAGGUGCUGCUUAUCUAGUAAGAUAAGCGGAAGAAAGGUAGAAGAAAAACUAUCCUUUUAGCUGAGACGUGAUACGGGUUCAUUCCCUGACUGCUUUGAGCUUUGCUCUUAGUGGUUCAUAGUGGAACUCAACUCCUUGUCAUAUUUCCUAGAAAAGCUCGAACUACUUAUAAUCAAGAAUUACCUGUACCCCAAACCGACACAGGUAGGUGGGUAGAGUAUACCUAGGGGCGCGAGAUAACUCUCUCUAAGGAACUCGGCAAAAUGGCCCCGUAACUUCGGGAGAAGGGGUGCCCUUAUUUUAAUAAGGGCCGCAGUGACCAGGCCCAGGCGACUGUUUACCAAAAACACAGGUCUCCGCUAAGUCGUAAGACGAUAUAUGGGGGCUGACGCCUGCCCAGUGCCGGAAGGUGAAGGAAGCUGGUUAUUCUUUCUGCUUUGCUGAAAGAAGAAGCUGUCGACCGAAGCCCCGGUGAACGGCGGCCGUAACUAUGACGGUCCUAAGGUAGCGAAAUUCCUUGUCGGGUAAGUUCCGACCCGCACGAAAGGCGUAACGAUCUGGGCGCUGUCUCGGAGAGAGACUCGGUGAAAUAGACAUGUCCGUGAAGAUGCGGACUUCCUGCACCUGGACAGAAAGACCCUAUGAAGCUUGACUGUAGCCUGGAAUUGGGUUCGGGCUCUUCUUGCGCAGCCUAGGUGGGAGGCGUUGACAAUUCCCUUCCGGGGGGAUUUGAGCCAUCAGUGAGAGACCACUCUGGAAGAGCUAGAAUUCUAAUAGCGAUCCUUGAAUCAGGACGCUUGACAGUUUCAGGUGGGCAGUUUGACUGGGGCGGUCGCCUCCUAAAAAGUAACGGAGGCGUGCAAAGGUUCCCUCAGGCUGGACGGAAAUCAGCCGUAGAGUGUAAAGGCAGAAGGGAGCUUGACUGCAAGACCUACAAGUCGAGCAGGGGCGAAAGCCGGCCUUAGUGAUCCGACGGUACCGAGUGGAAGGGCCGUCGCUCAACGGAUAAAAGUUACUCUAGGGAUAACAGGCUGAUCUUCCCCAAGAGUUCACAUCGACGGGAAGGUUUGGCACCUCGAUGUCGGCUCAUCGCAACCUGGGGCGGUAGUACGUCCCAAGGGUUGGGCUGUUCGCCCAUGAAAGCGGUACGUGAGCUGGGUUCAGAACGUCGUGAGACAGUUCGGUCCAUAUCCGGUGUAGGCGUUAGAGUAUUGAGAGGAUUCUUUCAUUGUACGAGAGGACCUGAAAGAACGCACCACUAGUAUACCAGUUCUCGUGCCAACGGGAUACGCUGGGUAGCCAAGUGCGGAGCGGAUAACUGCUGAAAGCAUCUAAGUAGGAAGCCCACCUCAAGAUGAGUACUCUCUUAAACUUAGUUUAAAAAGGUCACGGUAAGACAAACCGUUUAAUAGGUAUCAGGUGGAAGGCUAGUAAUAGUUGGAGCUGAGAUAUACUAAUAGACCGAUUGAUUUUGAU
rnacentral:rRNA from 1 species